AGCUCUGUAGUGGCAUCACGUCAAAAUGCAAGUUUGAAGAAGAGCCCUAAUGGGCUCCGGGGCUU
rnacentral:tRNA from 1 species